rnacentral:rRNA from 1 species
UGGGGAAUUUUGCACAAUGGGGGAAACCCUGAUGCAGCGACGCCGCGUGAUUUAGAAGGCCUUCGGGUUGUAAAAAUCUUUUGUAUGGGAAGAAAAUGACAGUACCAUACGAAUAAGGACCGGCUAAUUACGUGCCAGCAGCCGCGGUAAUACGUAAGGUCCGAGCGUUGUCCGGAAUCAUUGGGCGUAAAGGGUGCGUAGGUGGUCUUUCAAGUCGGUGGUUAAAGGCUACGGCUCAACCGUAGUUAGCCUCCGAAACUGGAAGACUUGAGUGCAGGAGAGGAAAGUGGAAUUCCCAGUGUAGCGAUGAAAUGCGUAGAUAUUGGGAGGAACACCAGUAGCGAAGGCGGCUUUCUGGACUGCAACUGACACUGAGGCACGAAAGCGUGGGUAGCAAACAGG